GCAUGUACUUCCUGCAGUGCAGUUAGAAAUGCCCAUCCGACUCUGCUUGCAAAGACAUCUGCAAUGGCAGUUCACAUGGCUCAGAUAGCUCACUUCUGCAGAGAGCUGAAUUUAAGUGGGACAGGGUAGCAAGAAUAAUUACUUUGACAAUCAUUUUGCCACCUGAUGACUGUGCUGCCUGUCCUGAGCUGAGUUCCUUUAUUUAUAGGCACAGCUGCUUAAAGACUGUUACCGGAAAGGAAUCCUGAUCCAGACGCCAAGAGAGGGUUCUUGGACUCAUGCAAGAAAGACUUCAGGACAGAGAUCAUGGAAGUUGGGCCCGACUGGAUGAGAUUUGGGGGUCUUUGGAAGUGGAGAAUGUGUUUGCCCUGGGGAAGAGAGGUGAUGUCUAGGAGACCUCUUCACUCAGGGCAAGCUCUAUGACCUGCUUUGACUCCAGAAUGUGGUAGAAGUGGCAUCACAUAAAUUGCAGAGCCUAGGCUUCAAGAGACCUUGCAACUUGCCUCUCACUGACUUGAAGUGCUCCCAUCAGAGCAUCUUGUAAGGAGCAGGUGGAGCAUGUGGACAAGCCAUCCCCACCAGCCCCUGAGACAUGUGAGAGAGGCCAGAACAGGCCAUCCGGACCCCACUGUGCUGGUGGAUGAGACAGCAGAAGGAAUAUCAACCUACCAACAGAAUCCUGAGAAAUGCUCACUCUUACUUCAAGCUGCUGCAUUUUGAUGUUAUGAAACCAUAAAUAACUUAUGAAGUCAUCUUUGCUGACUUAAAGUUUUCCAUAACUUUAUUAUAACAUAUCAAAAUUAUGAAAAAUGUGAAAAGUAGAAAACUGAUGAAUUUUGCUUCUUCAUAUGGUCUUUAAGAAUCUCAAAGGCACUGAAGUUUUUUAUCUUUUCUGUCUUAGAAUAAAAAACCUUGAAUGAAAAUCUGCUUCUUGGAAAAGCAGCAAGGUUUAUGCAGAGGCAAUCUGGUAUUUGUGUGCACUGGCAGCUGAUCAUACCCAGCAUGCACGCACUCUCAGGGCAGAGUCUGAUGCCCCACAUAAUGGGGCAUGGUAAGGACUCCCAUGUCCUUGAGAUAAAAUGAUAAGGAAAAUACACACUGCUAUUAGAAUAACAGGCCCAGCUUCUGCACAUUUUAAUUCCCAAAGUUUUCAUGAAAGACAAUGAUUUUUUGGUACCAUGUUUAACUCUACAAGAAUCAGUAGUGAAAACUAAAAAUGAUACUUUGUGAAAGUUCAUUAAUUUUGUUUUCAGCCAGUGGUGGCCUUGGUCAGAUAGAAUCAAAUCUAUGAUACUUUUUAUCAGAAAUGCUUAUACUGUGUACAAACCCAAAGUGAUGGCUUUCAAAGAUUGAAUUUGAUUAUUUUCUGUAUGGUGCAGAUGAAAAAUUACUACACAGGAGAAGGUGGGUUGGAGGUGCUCACGAGUAACCAGGAAACAGUCUGAAGUUUUUCUGAUACUUCUCCUUGGUCCAACCAAAUGUGAGAUAUAAACACAAACUUGGGA
ensembl:lncRNA novel transcript